rnacentral:rRNA from 1 species
UACGUAGGGGGCAAGCGUUAUUCGGAUUCACUGGGCGUAAAGGGUGCGCAGGCGGCCGAGUGUGUGAGGCGUGAAAGCCCGGGGCUUAACCCCGGAAUUGCACCUCAAACUACACGGCUAGAGCAUUGGAGAGGGUAGCAGAAUUCACGGUGUAGCAGUGAAAUGCGUAGAUAUCGUGAGGAAUACCAGAGGCGAAGGCGGCUACCUGGACAAUUGCUGACGCUCAGGCACGAAAGCGUGGGGAGCAAAAGGG